ACGAACUCUGGUAUUGAUUGGUGCUUGCAUCAUGAUUUACAUUUGAGUGAGUGGCGAACUGGUGAGUAACACGUGGGAAACCUGCCCAGAAGCGGGGGAUAACACCUGGAAACAGAUGCUAAUACCGCAUAACAACUUGGACCGCAUGGUCCGAGUUUGAAAGAUGGCUUCGGCUAUCACUUUUGGAUGGUCCCGCGGCGUAUUAGCUAGAUGGUGGGGUAACGGCUCACCAUGGCAAUGAUACGUAGCCGACCUGAGAGGGUAAUCGGCCACAUUGGGACUGAGACACGGCCCAAACUCCUACGGGAGGCAGCAGUAGGGAAUCUUCCACAAUGGACGAAAGUCUGAUGGAGCAACGCCGCGUGAGUGAAGAAGGGUUUCGGCUCGUAAAACUCUGUUGUUAAAGAAGAACAUAUCUGAGAGUAACUGUUCAGGUAUUGACGGUAUUUAACCAGAAAGCCACGGCUAACUACGUGCCAGCAGCCGCGGUAAUACGUAGGUGGCAAGCGUUGUCCGGAUUUAUUGGGCGUAAAGCGAGCGCAGGCGGUUUUUUAAGUCUGAUGUGAAAGCCUUCGGCUCAACCGAAGAAGUGCAUCGGAAACUGGGAAACUUGAGUGCAGAAGAGGACAGUGGAACUCCAUGUGUAGCGGUGAAAUGCGUAGAUAUAUGGAAGAACACCAGUGGCGAAGGCGGCUGUCUGGUCUGUAACUGACGCUGAGGCUCGAAAGUAUGGGUAGCAAACAGGAUUAGAUACCCUGGUAGUCCAUACCGUAAACGAUGAAUGCUAAGUGUUGGAGGGUUUCCGCCCUUCAGUGCUGCAGCUAACGCAUUAAGCAUUCCGCCUGGGGAGUACGGCCGCAAGGCUGAAACUCAAAGGAAUUGACGGGGGCCCGCACAAGCGGUGGAGCAUGUGGUUUAAUUCGAAGCUACGCGAAGAACCUUACCAGGUCUUGACAUACUAUGCAAAUCUAAGAGAUUAGACGUUCCCUUCGGGGACAUGGAUACAGGUGGUGCAUGGUUGUCGUCAGCUCGUGUCGUGAGAUGUUGGGUUAAGUCCCGCAACGAGCGCAACCCUUAUUAUCAGUUGCCAGCAUUAAGUUGGGCACUCUGGUGAGACUGCCGGUGACAAACCGGAGGAAGGUGGGGAUGACGUCAAAUCAUCAUGCCCCUUAUGACCUGGGCUACACACGUGCUACAAUGGAUGGUACAACGAGUUGCGAACUCGCGAGAGUAAGCUAAUCUCUUAAAGCCAUUCUCAGUUCGGAUUGUAGGCUGCAACUCGCCUACAUGAAGUCGGAAUCGCUAGUAAUCGCGGAUCAGCAUGCCGCGGUGAAUACGUUCCCGGGCCUUGUACACACCGCCCGUCACACCAUGAGAGUUUGUAACACCCAAAGUCG
rnacentral:rRNA from 2 species